rnacentral:rRNA from 1 species
AGUGGCGAACGGGUGAGUAAUAUAUCGAACGUACCGAGCAGUGGGGGAUAACUAAUCGAAAGAUUAGCUAAUACCGCAUAUUCUCUGAGGAGGAAAGCAGGGGACCUUCGGGCCUUGCGUUAUUCGAGCGGCCGAUAUCUGAUUAGCUAGUUGGUGGGGUAAAGGCCUACCAAGGCGACGAUCUGUAGCGGGUCUGAGAGGAUGAUCCGCCACACUGGGACUG